rnacentral:tRNA from 1 species
UAGCUCAGUUGGUAAAGAACCUGCCUGCAAUGCAGGAGACCCUGGUUCAAUUCCUGG